rnacentral:lncRNA from 1 species
UGCAAAUCUUAUAAAGGACAACAUUUAAUUGGGUCUUGCUUACAGGCUCAGAGGUUCAGUCCAUUGUUAUCAACGUGGGAGCAUGGCAGCAUCUAGGCAGGCGUGGUACAGGAGGAGCUGAGAGCUAGCUCUACAUCUUCAUCUGAAGGCUGCUAGCAGAAUACUGACUUCCAGGCAACUACAACCAAGGUAUUAAAGCCCACACCCACAAGGUCAUAGCUACUUCAACAAGGCCACACCUCCCAACAGUGCCACUCCCUAGGUCAAGCAUAUACAAUCCAUCACAGGGUCUGAGACCCAGGCCAUGGGACCUAGAAGAGGUUGCUGUUGAAGCUGGCCAAGAUGCCUGCCUGUGGCUGAGACUCUCUUUAACCCUCUGGUCUUUAGACACAGGCUCUGAGGCAGAAUGUCUGAUUUGCAGGGGAGAGGUCCCAGGAGCGCCCACUGUUAGGCUGGAGUUACAUAGGAAAGAACAGAGAGCAGCCACCACUGUACGGCCUGCACCAUCCUACAAGAUCUGAAAGUGCGGAGUCCUCAGAGCUGUCAGAGGAUGUGGGGCUUAUGACAACACCUGGGAGGAGAGAUGGAGAAGGCUUUUAUGGAGUCCCAGUGAGGUAAGGACAUAAGGCAUUGUGUCAACAAUGGAGGCCAGGCCUGCACCCUGCAGAAAGACAGGACUGUGUGCACAGCUUACAGAACUCAGGACAGAAGCCAGCUCAGGGGGGCUUAGAAUAGAGGGAAAGCCAGGCAGAAUCAGAGGCCAGGCACCAGAAACAGGGUAAGGAAGCUGACAGUCUUUCAGCUGUGUCUCUGCACGAAUGAACAUCUGCUGGGAUUGGUCCCUCCUUAGUCAUCACACACACACACACACACACACACACACACACACACACACACACACACACAUACACACACACACACCUUCAGGACAGACUCAGCAGGGAAUCCUCCUGGGAGAAAAACUCGGGUGUCUCUGUCCUGCUGCUACUGUCACAGAAUGCCUGAGUCUGAAUCACUUACAAAGAUGGAAGUUAUUUCUCAAAAUUCUAGAGCAGGGAAGGCCAAGGUGGUGCUGGCCUUGGACCCUCCCCUCUUCUGUCAUCACCUAGUGCAUGAUAUCUUGUGGUGAGAAAGACCCCAUGUGAAACACAGAGGGAACUACUCCCACAACAACAACAACAACAACAACAUUAAUCCAUCAUUUCUCGAAGGCUCCACUUCUUCACUAGACAGCAGCAAUUAUAUUCUAGCACAUGUUUUGAAGGGAACAUCCAACCCAUAGCAUAAAGGCAAGCCAGAGUCCAAAAGCCAGGAACACUCAUACUGUGACCAUCUUCACAGAACCACUGUCCCCUGGGGUCACUGGAUUGGACUGGCAGUACAGUGAGCUGGGCAGCACAGAAGUGAACUAUGCCACUGCUGGACAGAGGCUGAACCCAGUCACCUCGCAGGGCAGGUUGGGAGGGGCCAGGGAUCCUGGGAAAGCUGUAGCACUCCACAGAGAUACAGCAAAAACCCCUGACUUGGACCAAAGGGCAACUCCUUUUUUAAAAAUCCUUUAAAUACGUGUGUGUGUGUGUGUGUGUGUGUAUGUAUGUAUGUGUUUAUCAGGAGGCAAAAGAUCAAUGUUGAGGGUCUUGCUCAGUCUCUUUCAGUGAACCUGGAGCUUGCCAGUUUGUCUAGACUGGCUUUGCCAGUGAACCCCAGGACCCUCUCGUCUCUGCUUCCCCAUUGGUGGAAUCCCAGGCAUACUGCUACAUCCAGCUUUUCGCUAUACACGCAUGCUGGGAUAGAACUCAGUUCCUCACAUUUGCAAGGUGUGUGAGCCAUGGAGGAGAAGGAUGCAAGGAGCCAAGGAAG